ACAAGGAAAUCCUCAUUUGAUUAGAAUCCAACUUCUUGAACUACAGCUGCAAACUAAGGAAACACAGUAACGAGCUAACGAAAAAAUUGAAAGAAAACGGAAGAAUUUAAUUAUGGUAUAGAACUUUUCCUAUGGAGUCUAAGCUCAGCUGCCAGAUCUGCACCCAGACCUAGAGGAAUCAUUCUAGAAGAGAGGAAACAUGAUUUGACAAUAUCCUCUUCUGAAGCAUUGGUUGCUUUAAAAAAAAAGUUUUUAAAGAGAGCUUAGAAACAUUGUCACAAUACAUAUUGAUACAAAAUGAAAAUAACUAAGCAGAUUCUUAUGAUAUUCCAAAUUAUGGC
rnacentral:lncRNA from 1 species